GUGCGUCACUCCAACCUCCAUUCCCAUCUCUACAGCUCCCUUUUUAACUGCUGGUUCUCUGACUGUCCUGGGUUGACUCUCUGUCCUGGGCUGACUCUCUGACUCUCACCCAGCUAAGCAACCUCCAGAUUCUCUGACUGUCCUGGGCUCUUCCUUUUUUCCCCUUAAAAGAAUGCUUUUGGUUACACUGGGCCACCUGGGCAAUUCAUGACACUGUUCCCAUUUCAAAAUCCUGAGUCACACCUGCAAGUCCUUUCGUGUAGAGUAGCAUAUUCACAGGUUCUGGGGAGUAGGACAUGGACAUCUUGGGGGUCAUUGUUCUGUAACAAUAUACACAUAUCAUUUUUGUGAUUAGGUAAUAAAAGGAUUGUGGCUUAUGUUUUGGGUGUUCUCUCUUUCUUUUCCUCUCACUCAUCACUUCAGGGAAAACCAGCUGUCGUGAUGUGAGGCAGCUUUGUGGGGAAUCCCUUGUGACAGCCAAUAGCCAGUGAGGAGCUGAGGUCUGUCAACAAAAUGUGAAUGAACUUGGAACCGGGUUCUGCAGCUCCAGAGAGCCUAGAGACAGCUACAGCUCUGGUCAACAGUUGGAUCACAGCCUCAUGGAACAAACGGCCUGAAUCAUCCAGUUAAGCAACCUCCAGAUUCAUGAGCCCCAAGAAAGAGAGUAAAUGUUUGUGGUAAUUUGCAAUGCAAUAAUAGAUGAUAAAUGCAUUCAUUCAAUAAAUAUGUAUUAAGUGCCAAUACAAUGUGUCAUGUUUUCUUUGACAUGUUAGA
rnacentral:lncRNA from 1 species